GACGUAGGGCGCGAGCGUUGUCCGGAUUUAUUGGGCGUAAAGAGCUCGUAGGCGGCUUGUCGCGUCGACUGUGAAAACCCGUGGCUCAACCAUGUGGUCUGCAGUCGAUACGGGCAGGCUAGAGUUCGGCAGGGGAGACUGGAAUUCCUGGUGUAGCGGUGAAAUGCGCAGAUAUCAGGAAGAACACCCGUGGCUAAGGCGGCUCUCUAGUACGGUACUGACGCUGAGACGCGAAAGCUAGGGUAGCAAACGGG
rnacentral:rRNA from 1 species